rnacentral:piRNA from 1 species
UGACAUCUGGAGCCGGAUCCUCC